ensembl:lincRNA
CGUCAGGGAAGCUGCAGGAAAGUUACCCUGGCAUGCAAAAAGAAGUGGAGAUGAACAAGCCCACAUGAACUAUGCUCCUCCUGCUUGGGGCUGCUUCCUGUGAAGAGUGUGGCUGCACUGCUGCAAACCAUCCCUUCCCUGCCACACUGGCACAGGUGGCUGUUGCCACCUACGACAGCCCAGACUUUGCCAUCUCCUUGUGAAGCAUGAAUAAGCAGACCUCCAGCCUGAUGCAUCAGAUUCCUCUUCCCGUGGCUCUCCAUCUUCCAUGUUGUUCAUGCGACUGUCUUCUAAGCCUCCUCAGGGACCAAGAUGGAUUUCCAGCCUGGAUGUUUUGGUGGGGAUUCUACCCAGUGAUCGGGGAAGAACCACAUGCCCUUCCAACCUUGCAUCAGCAAUCCCAUGAGGCUCCCCAAUGA